AAAAGAAAGGUGGUGAUGAGUCUGAAAAUGAGAGCGAUUUAUACAGAUUCCCUCGAGCAAACCCUAAUUUUCUUUGAUGAAAUUGUAAAGGGACGUGAGAAAGAGAAUUUCGAGGGUUACCGGAGUGAUUGGAGCUGUGGAGGUUGAGGAAUUUGAAUGAAAAGUCGGGUUAAGUCUGAAUUUCGAACAGUCUGAACAGGCUUCAGUGUUUUGAAGUUCUCGAGCUGUAGAAACCAAAUUUGAGGCUGACAUUUUGAGGAAAACCGAGACUGCACAGAAUUUCGGGCGAACAGAGAAACGUGACUUUUGGACCUGAUUCGGUGUUAUUCAAGCUUUUUCAAAGCUUCAAAUUCUCAGGCUGGGAAAACUUCUGAAACUUCUCGCCGGAAAACAGGGGUAUCAAGAAAUAUUUGACCGAUUCCAGAAUAUUUAGGGCGACUCAAGACCCCAAAAUGUGAGGCCAAGUUCAAUUAGGAGAGGCUUACAAAUCCGAAGGAUCGAGCCUGAAAUUUGUUAAAUCUUUCUCUUUGUGCUUCAGGUAGUUACUGUAGACACUCCAAGAUGGUGAAAAUUUUUCAAGCAACACAUUUGCUUGAAGAAUCUUGCACAUCUUCAUGCCUUUAUACAGAACAUUGGAUACUAAAUUUUCAUCUCGUGAACUUGCUCCACACUGUUUUGUCAUCCAACUUCUUGAACUGCACCCAUUUGCCAACUAUGUAUUUUCUUCUGGCUAUGUUAUUGCCUCCGUAUAUGGAUUCCAAGGUGGCCACGAAUAGUUUUGUUGUCUUUCUCAAACUUGUCAGCAUCCAUGGUGUGAAGUGAAUUAAUAGUGGCUUCCUUGGAGGUUGCUGGAUCAAUGAUGGCAGCAGCUGUUGGGGUUGAUGCCCUACAUCUCGUAGGGUUCUUUAGUUUGUAGUUGUAAUGUACAAAUAAUUUAUUUAUGUAAUAAAAUAUUUGACGUUUUAUUUCGAAAUUAAUUACAUUAGCCACAAACUAAUAAACAACAUCCAAUGUUAUUUUAUAGCUUAAACUUGUAUCUAGAGACAUAUGGGUGGAUCAUGUUUAAGUGAUAACCUAAAUGGUCUGUAGUAGAUGGAUAAGGCUGAAUACCUUAUCCUGGUGACACAACGAGUAUGACUCAUUUUAUAGAUGUUACGAUUGUUGUAAACUGCUAUAAAUGAUCUGAUCAUGAUCAUUCAUGUGGAGACAUGUGAAUGGAGAUAUUCUAUAUAAAAGAGUUUGUAUAGGACUAAAUCACGAAAUGUU